rnacentral:rRNA from 1 species
UGGGGAAUAUUGCACAAUGGGCGCAAGCCUGAUGCAGCGACGCCGCGUGAGGGAUGACGGCCUUCGGGUUGUAAACCUCUUUCACCCAUGACGAAGCGCAAGUGACGGUACCGGACUAAGAAGCACCGGCUAACUACGUGCC